rnacentral:lncRNA from 1 species
UUAACCGACCGAUCCACCCAGGCGCCCCAACACGAACGCUCUUACUAACAACGAUACCUAACAUCAAUUCAGCUGACAGUUCCAGGCACUGAGCUGAGUGGUCUUCAAUUCGACCCGUCACAGAGUCCUCACACAGCCCCACACGCAGGUGUAUCUGUCAUCCCCCUUACAGACUGAAAACUCCUGAGGUGCAGAGAAAUUAAGAGACUUGCGAGGAAGAGGAGGAGCUGCGACUUGAACCCAGGUCUGACUGCAGAGAGCAGGCCCUUAACCCUGAAGUAAAGAGCAGGAAGAGGAAGUAAAGGUCUUGCCUUUGGCAGGGAGAGGGGUCUCUCUGCAUUCCCUGUACCCUCACCCUUUCCCUACCCUUUUUAGCCCAAGUAAAAAUGACAAUUCCAUUGACCUACUGACCUGGUAACCAGGGCCAGAUAAUUUCACAUCUACUUGUUGGGUCAUGAAGUAGGAUCAGGAAUGGAAUUAGGGUCAGAAACAGGAUGAUCGUGCCUUGCCAACAUAAUUAUAUCCCUUGCACUCUGUGAUCAAAAUGAUUGAGUCAGAGGGUUUUGCUUUGUGCCAGCGCCAUCUGACUGGCUCUCAAAGAGGUCACCCAGGGUAGUUUUACCUUGAUGAGUUUUCCACAGAGCUGAACCUGCUUCAUGGCCAAGUCGGUGCUCUGAGGUUCAGCUGCCUGGAGAAGUCUGACGCCCAGCAAUCCAACUCAUAGGAGGCUGAAGUAUAUAACCAGAUACUCACAUAUCCAUUAACAAUUGGUAUUAGUCUUUCAGUAACUGGAAUGCUCCUCCUGCACCUGGGGCCCCCUCCUCCUAGUAGCAGCAAUCAGAAAGCCAAAUCACCCAUCAGCUGGCUGGUUGGUUGCUGACUAUUCAACUAUACCACAUUCCAGCCCUGCCCCCUUGAGAUGGCAUCAGGGAGAUGACCUGACGGUGGGUUUGUUCGCCCAAGCUCUUCAUUUAUUUAUGGACUUUUUGUAUAUAUUCUCAGAUAUAUUAGGUUGAACCAUAUGAAAUUGCUA